rnacentral:rRNA from 1 species
AAUUUUGCGCAAUGGGCGAAAGCCUGACGCAGCAACGCCGCGUGAAUGUUAAGCCCUUCGGGGUGUAAAGUUCUGUCAGUGGGGACGAAACUUGACGGUACCCACAGAGGAAGCACCGGCUAACUCCGUGCCAGCAGCCGCGGUAAUACGGAGGGUGCAAGCGUUGUCCGGAAUCAUUGGGCGUAAAGAGUUCGUAGGUGGCAUGUUAAGUCUGGUGUUAAAGCCCGAAGCUCAACUUCGGUUCGGCACCGGAUACUGGCAAGCUUGAAUGCGGUAGAGGUAAAGGGAAUUCCUGGUGUAGCGGUGAAAUGCGUAGAUAUCAGGAGGAACAUCGGCGGCGAAAGCGCUUUACUGGGCCGUAAUUGACACUGAGGAACGAAAGCCGGGGUAGCAAAUGGG